UAAGGAAUCUUCCGCAAUGGGGGCAACCCUGACGGAGCGACGCCGCGUGGACGAAGAAGCCUUUCGGGGUGUAAAGUCCUUUUGGUGGGGAGGAGACGGACCGUACCCGCCGAAGAAGCCUCGGCUAACUACGUGCCAGCAGCCGCGGUAAUACGUAGGAGGCAAGCGUUGUCCGGAAUUACUGGGUGUAAAGCGCGUGUAGGCGGCGCGCCUUGUCCGCUGUGAAAGCGCCCGGCUCAACCGGGCAGAGUCGGCGGAAACGGGCGGGCUGGAGGCCGGUAGAGGCGAGUGGAAUUCCCGGUGUAGUGGUGAAAUGCGUAGAUAUCGAGAGGAACACCUGCGGCGAAGGCGGGUUGCUGGGCUGACACUGACGCUGAGGCGCGAAAGCUAGGGGAGCGAACGG
rnacentral:rRNA from 1 species